AGGAGUCAUAGCUUUCAUCAAAUUCUCAAGGGUGUCCAUGAUCCAAGAAGCAUAGAGAUUCAGUGCAACUCUUGCCUUCAGGAGACGGCCGGCCCGGUGCUUAGCCUGUCUGUGACUGGCUGGAGAGGGCUGGCUGGCUGGCUCUGCUCAGGAUGCAGGGUGCGGGGAGAAGGCAAGGCUCCUUGGAGAUGAGUUGCUCAGCCCCUUGGCAGUCGUCAGCACUGUCAGUGCUAAUUGUCACUGUCAUCUUUAUUAGGAAUUUUCCCCCAUGGCCUGGGGUCAUUCGACGUCCCUCUGCUGUACUCAGGGGCAUUGCUUUUGCUGCGGAAAUUCUGAUGUGUCUGGGUAGGGAGGCGCAUCUCAUAGCCAUCUGCCUCCCUGAGCCCACAGCCCUACAUUCCCCACUAGAGAAGGGACAGAGAAGGGACAGACAUGGUGUCCUAGUGGUGAUGCCAGAUGAGGGGGUGUGACGGGACCCGACUAUUGUGGGAAGCAGGGACAAGGUCCAUCCCUAGGGCGCUAGGAGGGGAGGGGCAGGGUUGGUCAUCAGGCAGGUAGGCUGGGGCUCAGGACUGGCUCUGCCCUGCACGAGUACAAAACAGGGCAGGUGCCCCAGUGCUGGGCAUGAACGGUGAGCCCCCUGGGACUCACCUCGCUGCCCUCCGCAUCCCAGGCACAUUGCUCCCUGGGCCCGAGGAAUGGAGUGAACACGCGGGUGCUCGUCCAGAACAAACGGCAGAGACCAUGCAGGACUCUAGCACACGGAACCCUGUGGCUACAGUGAGGCCACGUGAACGGCCGUGGCUCGGCGCAGCAUGCUGCUUCUGAAAGUCUCUCCUGGUCACUCUGGGAGUCUGGGUCAGGAGUCGCAUGUGAGCUCCUGUUCUUUGGGUCCAGCCUUCUCAUUCCUGCCUGCACCUGAGAAGCCACUGAGGGUGGUGCCCUUAUCUUGUCCUUGCCCAGGCUGGGUGUCAGACCAGAGCGACCCUGCCCAGAUGCUGUUUCCUGGCACCAUCAAGAGAUGCAGGUGCGCAAGGGUGAGCAGAGCAGCACCUUUGGAGCUCGCGGGCCCAGAGUCACCGCAGGCCUGGGGAGAGGUGGGAGGAGGUGGUCUCUCUGCCGGGCUCCUUUCUCAUCCUGGCGACCACGCACUAGGCUGCCUUUCUGGUUUCCGGUGUCUGUUGCUGUUUUCCCCCCGAACACUUCUCUCAUCCAAACCCACAUUCUGGUCUCUUUCUCCCGAUUCCCUCUCCCUCAUGUAUUUCGUUUGCUUUGUACAGAUGACUCGUGGCCCCAGGACCUCAGCCUGACUGCACGUCCCAGUCAAGGCUCAGGCAGGAAACCUGGUUACAAACACAUCAUCUGUGUGUCCUGGAGAUUGGGGUCUACCCUUCCCUGGGGUGACAGAGACAAAGCCAUGUGUUCAUGGAACCAUCUCAUUUCUCUCCUGGGCCUGCAGGAAAAGGAACUUGGAAGCCAGGCCCCGAAGAUGGCAGAGCCUGGGUCCCUGAGUGACUGUGUGGAGAAGUGCCUCACCUGCCACCAAAUGUGUCUGUAAUGUCAGUGAGCAGUGAGCUGUUUCUGUACUGAGCCACCAAGAGUAGGGAUUUGUCUGCGGCCACAGCAGAGUCUACUCUACACCAACUAAUGUGCCACGUGCCCGGACAUUCCAACGUGUUUCCCUGGCUUAGCUUUAUCUCUGAAGCUUUCCGCACUGCGUUCCGGGGCUGCCUUUCUGCCCCACAUCUACCCUAGGAAUUCAGCAUCAAAAUGCCCUGGUGGGGAAGCUGUGCUUUCUCACAUGAUGAGAAUGGGAAGCAAUGUGACCCAAGAGAGAUUCACAGCCCGGAACACGGCCCAGCAGCCCCGGGCCUCAACCCGAAUGCUGAUCCCUAACGUUCCAGGAGAAAACCCUCCAUAAGUGAGGCAUCAGUCCUCAGAGUGUGACACCCCACAACCACUCCUAGCUCACUGAGGGGUUUUCUUUCUUUUCAUGCAUUCAUCCACCAAAUGUUUCCUGAGCUUGGGUUCCUUCUUUCCUCCCACAAAUGCUGACUGAGUACCUGCUCUAUGUCAGGCAGCAUGUCAGCCCUGCCCUCAGAGAUGGAUAGAAAGGUGUAAAGUAUCUGUUGUGUGAUAAUAAAUAUUAGGAGGAAAAGAAAGCAGGGACAAAGGGUGUGUGGGUGUACGUGUGUGUGCGUGUGUGCCUGUGUGCGUGUGUGCACGUGCACAUGUGCACGUGUCUGUACGUGUGUAGGAACGCAUUGGCCACAGACCAUCAGUUGGAGUGAGCUCACACAUGGAGAAGAGGCCACAGAGGGAGCCCCUGCUAAGGGCUUUGAUUUUACUGCACGUGAUUUGGGAGCCGUUGGAGAGUUUUCAGCAGAGGAGGGGAGUUUGAACAGGCUGCUGUGUGGGGAGCAGUCUGAGGCGGCAAGUGUGGAGCAGGGUCUCGCCGGGGCUGGAGCAGUCAUCUGGGGGAUGGGUGGGGGCGGCCUGGACCGGGAGCUGCAGUGGAG
rnacentral:lncRNA from 1 species